CCUACGGGUGGCAGCAGUGGGGAAUAUUGGACAAUGGACGCAAGUCUGACCCAGCAACGCCGCGUGAAGGAAGAAGGCUUUCGGGUUGUAAACUUCUUUUAAGGGGGAAGAGCAGAAGACGGUACCCCUUGAAUAAGCCACGUCUAACUACGUGCCAGCAGCCGCGGUAAUACGUAGGUGGCAAGCGUUGUCCGGAUUGACUGGGUGUAAAGGGCGUGCAGGCGGAGAAACAAGUCAGAUGUGAAAUCCACGGGCUCAACCCGUGAACUGCAUUUGAAACUGUUUAGCUCGAGUGUAGGAGAGGUAAGCGGAAUUCCUUGUGUAGCGGUGAAAUGCGUAGAUAUAAGGAAGAACACCAGUGGCGAAGGCGGAUUACUGGACGGUAACUGACGGUGAGGCGCGAAAGCGUGGGGAGCAAACAGGAUUAGAUACCCGUGUAGUC
rnacentral:rRNA from 1 species